GACGAACGCUGGCGGCGUGCCUAACACAUGCAAGUGGAGCGACGAACCGGGCUUCGGCCCGGGGCAAAGCCGCGAACGGGUGAGUAACACGUGGGUUACCUGCCCCGAUGACCGGGACAACCCGAGGAAACUCGGGCUAAUACCGGAUGUGCCCGCAAGGGGAAAGGAAGCUUCGGCCUCCGCAUCGGGAUGGGCCCGCGGCCCAUUAGCUUGUUGGUGAGGUAAUGGCUCACCAAGGCAACGAUGGGUAGCUGGUCUGAGAGGACGAUCAGCCACACUGGGACUGAGACACGGCCCAGACUCCUACGGGAGGCAGCAGUGGGGAAUCUUGCGCAAUGCGCGAAAGCGUGACGCAGCAACGCCGCGUGGGGGAAGAAGGCUUUCGGGUUGUAAACCCCUUUCAGUUGGGACGAAGCUUCGCCGGUGAAUAGCCGGCCGGAGUGACGGUACCUUCACAAGAAGCACCGGCUAACUACGUGCCAGCCGCCGCGGUAACAC
rnacentral:rRNA from 1 species